UACGUAGGGGGCAAGCGUUGUCCGGAUUUAUUGGGCGUAAAGAGCGUGUAGGCGGUUUGGUAGGUCCGUUGUGAAAACUCGAGGCUCAACCUCGAGACGCCGAUGGAAACCAUCAGACUAGAGUCCGGAAGAGGAGAGUGGAAUUCCUGGUGUAGCGGUGAAAUGCGCAGAUAUCAGGAAGAACACCCGUGGCUAAGGCGGCUCUCUAGUACGGUACUGACGCUGAGAGCGAAAGCGUGGGGAGCGAACAGGAUUAGA
rnacentral:rRNA from 1 species